GACUGGGUGGUAGGAGUGUGCUGAGUGCGAUUGCUCUGGCCUGGCUGGGGGGGACUGGUUGGGAGGAGUGUGCUGAGUGCGAUUGCUCUGGCCUGGCUGGGGGGGGACUGGUUGGGAGGAGUGUGAUUGCUCUGGCCUGGCUGGAGGGACUGGCUGGGAGGAGUGCGCAGUGUGCGAAUGUGGUGCACAAGCCUUUAGUUUUGGCCAGAGCUAAGUUGUUAGGGGAGAGCCUUUCACUGUUGCACCAGUGUGCGAUACCAUACAGCGUCUCCCCUUUCACCCUCUGAUCACUGUGCAACGCCAGUUUCCUUCCCCACUCGCACCUCCCCAGCAGGUAAGAUGGCAAGAAACACAGGACAUGGUUUGGCUCUCCUCAACCUCUUAAACUCCGUCUCGACUUCUCUCUUAGUUAUUUUUUUCCUUCUUUCUCUUCCCGUUGGCAAAGCCCCCAGGAGUGCAGGAGGAAGGAGCGAGGGAGGAGACGGAAGGGGAGGGAAGUGCCCAACCGAACGAGUGGAUUAGUGAUUAAAAAUAUAUUUGCGUGUUACAAAAAAUGAGGCGCUGUUCUUUCUUGCUUUUCCAGAUCCACGGGCACAGGGUGUAGGAUGUAGGACUGUUUUCCCCAGUGGAGUCGUGCGCUGUCGUUCUGUCCCAGGCCCACCCUGCAGCGAGCCGGCUGCGACCGGUGCCCUGCGGCGCGUCAAUAGCAAUACAGAACAUCGGGUGCCUUGAUACCAAGACGACAUUGCCGUGUCGGAAACCGGAAUUGUGCGUAUUUAUUAUUUGUACUUUAAUUUGCAAGACGGUCGCUUUGGGGACCCACCUCGGAAUCUUCUCCGCAGGUUGUAAGGUUGUGCGCGUGUAUCGAUGUUUUGCGUGGACAAAUCUCGAGAUGCAGACUGGGAACCAAAGACACAUCUUCCAGCCUCCUGGCCCAGGGACAGUUUACCUCGGCUGGGCCAGUGCUGGCUCUCCAUCGCCACCUCCUGGGCGGCCGGGCCACCAUCCUGCACCUGCAGUGUAUCCUCCCUCUCCAGCAGUAGGAGCCAGGUGUGUACAGUAUCCCCACUCUGUGCGUCGACGCCAGGUCUGUUUACUGUAAACAUUUUGCACCUGGUCGGAAACCCGUAGGGCUUGGCCGUACCUGCACACCUGUCGUGCAUGUACUGCUUUCCCUGCACUCCCGGUGACCCUCAACGGUCAGGAUGGGUGCCGCCCACCCUGGUCUGGAAAGCUCUAAUAAGUCUUCCAGGUCUCCCUUAACUCAUCAAUUUCUGUACAGACCUGGAACACGUGGCGUCUGGUCGAAUGAGCCAGUUAACUGUCUCCGUUCAGUCGGGACGGGCCUGAGGUCGCCAAGAUCUACAGGGGUCGUGGGAUUUCCGUGUAGGAGGAUGCUGCUUUGUUGCAUCAGACCUCCUGCUUCGAUGGUCACAACAGGACUGUUCCAGGCGUUUAGAAACUGGUGGUUUCAGGGUCGCCUAUUAAAUCUGUGGGACCGGGGCUCCCCAGAACCAGGGGCUAUGUGUGCAUACUUUUAGAUCUAGUGAGGGUGGGGCUCACUGGCCGAGGACAGACUGCCAACACUGUGGAGUCGCAAUAGGCAAGAGAUCCGAGGAGGUCGCUCCUCUCUCGAACCGUGGGUGCAGACUUGGCCUCAGACAGUUCGCCAGCACAUCCACCAGCCGAGCUGGACAUUUCCCGUCUUACUCUGUGAUCAUUCUUCUGCCUUCCUAGUGCAUUCAUUUCAGCGGUGCUUCCCUGAUACCAGGUGCAAAAUCGAAAGAGAAAAAACUUUUUUUUAUUUUUUUUUCCACUUUGUAAAAUGUUUUUUUUUUUCCAUGUAAAAUGUUUAGUUGCUUGUCUUAAAUAUUACACUGUCAUGGAUGCACUC